rnacentral:rRNA from 1 species
GCGUGCUUAACACAUGCAAGUCGAACGGAAAGGCCCUGCUUUUGUGGGGUGCUCGAGUGGCGAACGGGUGAGUAACACGUGAGUAACCUGCCCUUGACUUUGGGAUAACUUCAGGAAACUGGGGCUAAUACCGGAUAGGAGCUCCUGCUGCAUGGUGGGGGUUGGAAAGUUUCGGCGGUUGGGGAUGGACUCGCGGCUUAUCAGCUUGUUGGUGGGGUAGUGGCUUACCAAGGCUUUGACGGGUAGCCGGCCUGAGAGGGUGACCGGCCACAUUGGGACUGAGAUACGGCCCAGACUCCUACGGGAGGCAGCAGUGGGGAAUAUUGCACAAUGGGCGGAAGCCUGAUGCAGCAACGCCGCGUGCGGGAUGACGGCCUUCGGGUUGUAAACCGCUUUCGCCUGUGACGAAGCGUGAGUGACGGUAAUGGGUAAAGAAGCACCGGCUAACUACGUGCCAGCAGCCGCGGUGAUACGUAGGGUGCGAGCGUUGUCCGGAUUUAUUGGGCGUAAAGGGCUCGUAGGUGGUUGAUCGCGUCGGAAGUGUAAUCUUGGGGCUUAACCCUGAGCGUGCUUUCGAUACGGGUUGACUUGAGGAAGGUAGGGGAGAAUGGAAUUCCUGGUGGAGCGGUGGAAUGCGCAGAUAUCAGGAGGAACACCAGUGGCGAAGGCGGUUCUCUGGGCCUUUCCUGACGCUGAGGAGCGAAAGCGUGGGGAGCGAACAGGCUUAGAUACCCUGGUAGUCCACGCUGUAAACGGUGGGUACUAGGUGUGGGGUCCAUUCCACGGGUUCCGUGCCGUAGCUAACGCUUUAAGUACCCCGCCUGGGGAGUACGGCCGCAAGGCUAAAACUCAAAGGAAUUGACGGGGCCCCGCACAAGCGGCGGAGCAUGCGGAUUAAUUCGAUGCAACGCGUAGAACCUUACCUGGGUUUGACAUGGAUCGGGAGUGCUCAGAGAUGGGUGUGCCUCUUUUGGGGUCGGUUCACAGGUGGUGCAUGGCUGUCGUCAGCUCGUGUCGUGAGAUGUUGGGUUAAGUCCCGCAACGAGCGCAACCCUUGUUCACUGUUGCCAGCACGUUAUGGUGGGGACUCAGUGGAGACCGCCGGGGUCAACUCGGAGGAAGGUGGGGAUGACGUCAAGUCAUCAUGCCCCUUAUGUCCAGGGCUUCACGCAUGCUACAAUGGCUGGUACAGAGAGUGGCGAGCCUGUGAGGGUGAGCGAAUCUCGGAAAGCCGGUCUCAGUUCGGAUUGGGGUCUGCAACUCGACCUCAUGAAGUCGGAGUCGCUAGUAAUCGCAGAUCAGCAACGCUGCGGUGAAUACGUUCCCGGGGCUUGUACACACCGCCCGUCAAGUCAUGAAAGUUGGUAACACCCGAAGCCGGUGGCCUAACCGUUGUGGGGGAGCCGUCGAAGGUGGGACUGGUGAUUAGGACUAAGUCG